rnacentral:tRNA from 1 species
GAGAGAGGCCCUGAAGCAAAGAAAACUGCUAAUUUUCCUCCCCUUGGUUAGAAUCCGAGGCUCACUC